AGCGAACGCUGGCGGCAGGCCUAACACAUGCAAGUCGAACGAACCUUUCGGGGUUAGUGGCGGACGGGGGUGUAACACGUGGGAACGUGCCUUUAGGUUCGGAAUAACUCAGGGAAACUUGUGCUAAUACCGAAUGUGCCCUUCUGGGGGAAGAUUAAUCGCCUUUAGAGCGGCCCGCGUCUGAUUAGCUAGUUGGUUGAGGUAAUGGCUCACCAAGGCGACGAUCAGUAGCUGGUAUGAGAGGAUGAUCCGCCACAUUGGGACGGAGACACGGCACAAACUCCUACGGGAGGCGGCAGUGGGGAAUCUUGCGCAAUGGGCGAAAGCCUGACGCUGCCAUGCCGCGUGAAUGAUGAAGGUCUUAGGAAUGUAAAAUGCUUUCACCGGGGACGAUAAUGACGGUACCCGGAGAAGAAGCCCCGGCUAACUUCGUG
rnacentral:rRNA from 1 species